rnacentral:rRNA from 1 species
AACGAACGCUGGCGGCAUGCCUAACACAUGCAAGUCGAACGAGACCUUCGGGUCUAGUGGCGCACGGGUGCGUAACGCGUGGGAACCUGCCCUUAGGUUCGGAAUAACUCCCCGAAAGGGGUGCUAAUACCGGAUAAUGUCUUCGGACCAAAGAUUUAUCGCCUUUGGAUGGGCCCGCGUUGGAUUAGCUAGUUGGUAGGGUAAAAGCCUACCAAGGCGACGAUCCAUAGCUGGUCUGAGAGGAUGAUCAGCCACACUGGGACUGAGACACGGCCCAGACUCCUACGGGAGGAAGCAGUGGGGAAUAUUGGACAAUGGGCGAAAGCCUGAUCCAGCAAUGCCGCGUGAGUGAUGAAGGCCUUAGGGUUGUAAAGCUCUUUUACCCGGGAUGAUAAUGACAGUACCGGGAGAAUAAGCUCCGGCUAAAUCCGUG